rnacentral:rRNA from 1 species
GACGUAGGGCGCAAGCGUUGUCCGGAUUUAUUGGGCGUAAAGAGCUCGUAGGCGGCUUGCCACGUCUGCCGUGAAAACCAGCAGCUUAACUGUUGGCUUGCGGUUGAUACGGGUUGGCUGGAGUUCGGUAGGGGAGUGUGGAAUUCCCGGUGUAGCGGUGAAAUGCGCAGAUAUCGGGAGGAACACCAGCGGCGAAGGCGGCACUCUGGGCUGGUACUGACGCUGAGGAGCGAAAGCGUGGGUAGCAAACAGG